UCCUGGACGGUUGGGUUGAUGCACCUGUGUGGCUGGGUCAGUGUGCCUGUACGCUUGGGUUGAUGCACCUGUGUGGCUGGGUCAGUGUGCCUGUACGGUUGGGUUGAUGCACCUGUGUGGCUGGAUCCGUCAAACGUAAUCUAUGCAGAAAUGCCUGAGUAUGCAGAGAAAAGUGGAACAACUGUUGUGAGGGGUGAAUUUACCUCCCUUGCGUCAGUGAAGAUGCCCAAGGAAAACGCUUUGAAAAUGUCACCAGCGUUCAGGUUCUCGUGGCAGGUUCGCCCAGACGUGAGCACAGCAAAAGGCCAAAGGUUGGGUUGCUGCGUUGGGUGUUUUUUUUUUUUUUUUCCUCC
rnacentral:lncRNA from 1 species